UGACUUUAAUGCUCAUAAAAUGGCAGACGUUCUGUAGCACGAAUGAAUGAAUGUUUUUGGUGGUGAGGCGGGCUCCCUCAGAAGCAGACUCUGAGGUAAAGGUUUGAGGGGAGCCCCAGAAACACUGGCAGAGGUGUAGGGAAAUGAGAUAGGGAAGGGAAAGCAGCCAAGAGAAGACACGGUAAUGAGCAGGUUGUUGCCACGGGCAACUGGCCUCCGUGCCAGCGGGUCCCCUGGGAGACCGUGUGGAACACACCUCAGAAUCGUCCCACUUGAGGUGCGAGGCAGCAGCAUUUGAUCCCUACCUCCCCACUGUCAUUGCUUGAGGCUGCUCCUGGGGGGCAUGACCUGCAUAUUCUUGGCGUGGCCAAGCUUGCUCCUGAGACCGGGGGUUCUCAUGGACAGAGGGUCACGGGUGCUUGCCUGAGAAGCCUUUGGAUGUCAGCAGAAGUGAGGGCCCAGGGGACAGAGGGAUUGAAAUAAACCUUUAGCACUGGGACCCCACCUAGGAAACAUCUACCUCUAGGAAAUGAAGUUUUGAGAGAUGCCGACUGAAUUUGUGAUCACUGAAUAAGAACCAACUGGGCAUCAAAUCAGGGAUCAGGUGAACCUCAGGCAUUGAAUUUGUAACACCUGGACUUUGAGGGACCCACUCUCCUAGGAGCUUGGGAUAAACUCACUCCACACUCAGAGUCUAAAGGAAAGGACAGGGCUCAUGGAAAUUCUUGCCUCAACUGCUGUGACGCGAGCAGCCCAGGUACACAGGCCCCUGGAGGCCAGACGGCUGGCAACAUCUGCUUCCAAUUACCCCAGGGAGGGACCUCACCGCCAGCCGCUGGUAACAGGAGCCUCUGGCCUCUGAUUUAUGGCCCAUUUGGAAUGAAGCCUCAGGAGCAAUUACUUGCUGGAUGGAGCCAGGCGAGGGGCGAGAGCUUUGCAGAGCAGAAAGCAGAUCUGACUUGCUGGGCUCCCUCCCCAGGCAGAGAAGAAUCAUCUAGUGCCUGGUUGCAGCCUCUGAGCUCAGUGCCCUCUGUGGGCGGACAGCACCACCUGAAGCCCUGAGCCCCAGUCCAGCAAGUUCAUCCUAUCAGAUAUGCUGUGUGCAAGGUGUGCCUGGGGGGCAGGACCUGGCGACGCUGCUUUCAGUACAAGAUGGGGACCUUACUGGCUCAUGAGGGCAUUUCCUUCCUCCCUUGAAGCCUGCAGGUCUUUUUUCCUGGGCUGUUCACUUUUCCCAGAAAGGAAUCUUCUGCCCUUGGAGAGAUACAGGCAGGGUAAGACCUUAUCUUG
rnacentral:lncRNA from 1 species